GACAGAGGUGGCAAGCGUUGUCCGGAAUUACUGGGCGUAAAGAGCGCGUAGGUGGCUAGAUAAGUCCGGUGUGAAAUCCUUCGGCUUAACCGGGGAAUGGCAUCGGGGACUGUAUAGCUAGAGGACGGAAGAGGAGAGCGGAAUUCCCGGUGUAGCGGUGAAAUGCGUAGAGAUCGGGAGGAAGGCCGGUGGCGAAGGCGGCUCUCUGGGAAUAUCCUGACGCUGAGGAGCGAAAGUGUGGGGGAGCGAACAGG
rnacentral:rRNA from 1 species